AGCGGGGGAGAACCAUCAGGGGGCCCUGCGCUGCUGAGGUCGGUGCUGUGGAGAUCCCCCCACUUCCUGGUUUACGGGCUGCUACAUGACAGCGCCGACAGCCCCAGCCAUUAGAAGAUUAGCCGGAUCGUUCACUGGCGUGCCAGGAUGGAUCAGGAAUAAAAUGAUUCCAGACACUCUAUAGAAAUCUAGGAGGUGGUGACAGAAUGCAGCAAGGAUGACGUCUUCUCUCUGAGGCAUCCUGCCCCCUGCCGUCUGAAAUGGAUGGCUCUACUGAAUCAGUCUUAAUCCACUGAGUGACAAACUCACAGGCACUGCAUUGACACCUGUCGGUCCAUUUAUACAGGCCAGGGGUAAACAUCACUUGAUGAAGUCAAACAGACUGACUUCUAAGAGAUGCCCAAAGAAAGCUCAUAAAUAUGAUGGAAUGAAGUUUAAAAAAUGGACGGUGCAGACGGACAGACGUACUGAUGGAUGAAGGUAGAGACAGGCUGAAAUAUAGAUUUGCAGACAGAUAAAAGUGUGUAUGUCCUGAGAUCCUAACAUCAGAAACCUUGUCCUCAUUUGGGUCUUACCUCAGAAGAUGAAUGGAGCUAGUGUCAGUGUAAAAUAACGAUUCAGUCUCUUAGUGAAAUUGUUCAUAUGAUGGAUCUGUGCAGCCAUUUACAACAAUGAAACCUGUCAUUUUCCCUCCCAAGUCAAAUGACUCUUUUCAUCUUUUCAUGCAUUCCUUCAACCCAAGAGCACUCAGGCAUUUGGCAAACCCAACGCCCCACUGGUCUGACACUACACUCUUAGAAAAAAUGGUUACAAAAGGGUUCUGCGGCUGUCUCCAUAGGAGAACCCUUUUAAAUUCAAGGUAGAACCCUUUUUAGUUUCAGGUAGAACUAUUUUGGGUUCCAUGUAGAACUCUCUGUGGAAAGGAUUCUGCAUGGAACCGAAAGGGGUUCUUUAAAACGUUAUCCUAUGGAGACAGCCGAAGAACCCUUUUUGGUUCUAGAUAGCAACUUUUUUUUCUAAGUGUAAGAGCAAUGUCAAACGACAUUAUGACCGAACACGCAUAAUCGAUAAGCAGAUUGACAUUUUAAGCACAUUUGUAUCUAAGUAGUGUAUAAGAUGGUUUAUGUCAGCAAAUAUUAACAGAAAGACAGACCAAAGACAGACUGUGUGGAAGAAUAGUGACAUCAUUCUUCGUGUUCAGAAAGACAAAAACUUGAUUCAGGCUCCACACAAGCAGCUGGACCAAUUCAGUGCUGUAGGGGGUGGUGAUGUCCAUUGUUGGCAAAGAACACUACUAGGGACAGGGGGAUACCUAGUCAGUUGUACAACUGAAUGCAUUCAACUGAAAUGUGUCUUCCAAACCAUGGGAUAUAGUACAGUGAUACUAUCAAGAGCAGUGUACGGGUUUCUUCUUUUUUCUCAUAUAGUACAUUUUUGCCAUCAGAUCUAAUGAUUUACCAAGACUGACUCAUCAUUGAAACAACAAUGUUACUAAUAGCAGAAAUAUAUAUUUGUUUUAGUGAUAUUGGUAACACUGGGAAAUAAUACAAGUCCAAAAGUGUCUGUGAGGUAGCCUAGGCAGAGAGCUGCUGUACAUGUUGUGGAAAUAUUAGUAAUAAUUUGUGUUUUUUAUAGAAUUUUUCCCUAACAAACUUUUGGUUUUAUGAAUGAACUAUUGAUUUAGCUUAUUAUUAUAGUCUGAAUAGUUUGAAUCCAGCACGUAUUCAAGACUGAAUUUAGGGGUUGGUUUUUGGCUAGGAGGCAAUGUUUUGAUUAGAUUAUGCCAACUCACUGCAGGUUGAGAAUGGAGAGAAGCCCGAAGGCAGAGGUGUACAUAGAGAUGACAGAUGACCAUGGCCAUAUGAAGGACUAAGUUAAAAGGCUACUCCUGAAUUACUAUUGAAGUGUGGUAUGCUUUCUGGUGCCUCAUGACUGUCGUAGCAUCACCCAAGUGGGUGCUGAAUUUUGGUAGUAGCAAAGAGUAGCUAGCAAGAUAGUUCAGUGGCUAGUACGGAACUCUAACUUCAUCUGUCUGAGUCCUACAACUAAGCAACAGACGGCUUGGAUGGCGAGACACCGUGAUGACAACGUACUGCCUGCUGCUUGCCUGUGUCUGGCUCUCCUCUUUGACCUCCUCCUCCUCCUCUGACCUCAAUCACGCCGUAACCUUUCUCAACCUUCAGUGUCUUGACUGUUGAUCAACUCAUGAUGGUUUUUAAAUGACAUGUUUUUUGUUGUUGCUUUACAGCACUUUGAGAUGUCUUUAUGUAAUGAAUAGUGCUAUUUAAGCUCAAUAAGUUAGUAGUGUUACUAUUAUGAGAUCCCAAUCUGUUAGCAUAUUGGUUUAAUAGUUGAUACCUGUAAUAGUCUGUUAUAUAGCAAUUCUCAGCAUUCUAACAUGCAAGGUGUAGUAUACAUAAGGUAGCCCUAUUUGGUAAAAGACCAUGUCUAUAUUAUGGCAAGAACAGCUCAAAUAAGCAAAGAGAAAUGACAGUCUAUCAUUAUUUUAAGACAUGAAGGUCAGUAAAUAUGGAAAAUGUAAAGAACUUUGAAAGUUUCUUUAAGUGCCGUUGCAAAAACCAUCAAGUGCUAUGAUGAAACUAUCUCUCAUGAGGACCGCCACAGGAAAGGAAGACCCAGAGUUACCUCUGCUGCAGAGGAUAAGUUCAUUAGAGUUACCAGCCUCAAAAAUGUGUAUUUGUAUUUAUUAUGGAUCUCCAUUAGCUGUUGCCAAGGCAGCAUCUACUCUUCCUGGGCUCCAGCUAAAUUAAGGCAGUUUAUACCAUUUUAAUAACAUUACAAUACAUUCACAGAUUUCACAACACAUUGCGUGCCCUACUCCACCACUACCACAUAUCUACAGUACUAAAUCCAUGUGUAUGUGUGUGUAUAGUGCAUAUGUUAUCGUGUGUGUGUAUGAAUGUGUCUGUGUUUGUGUUGCUUCACAGUCCCCGCUGUUCUAUUAGGUGUUUUUAUCUGUUUUGUCCCAAAUACAAUCAUUUUAGUUUUUUUUUUAUAUUUAGGGCUAACUUAUUCCUUGCCACCCACUCUGAAACUAACUGCAACUCUUUGUUAAGUAUUGCAGUCAUUUCAGUCGCUCUAGUAGCUGAUGGAAAUAGUGUUGAGUCAUCCGCAUGCAUAAACACUCUGGCUUUACUCAAAGUCAGUGGCAUGUCAUUGGUAAAACAUUUAAAAAAGCAAGGGGCCUAAACAGCUACCCUGGGGAAUUCCUCAUUCUACCUGGAUUUUUUCUACCUGGAUUAUGUUUGAGAGACUUCCACUAAAGAACACCCUCUGUGUUCUGUUAGACAAGUAAUUGCAGCCCAAAUAAAUGCUUCACAGAGUUCAAGUAACAGACACAUCUCAACAUCAACUGUUCAGAUGAGACUGCAUGAAUCAGGCCUUCAUGCUCAAGUUGGUGCAAAGAAACCACUACUAAAUGACACCAAUAAGAAGAAGAGACUUGCUUGGGCCAACAAACAUGAACAAUGGACAUGUUGGACACCAGCAGAAAUCCGUCCUUUUGUCUGAUGAGUCCAAAUGUAAGAUUUUUGGUUCCAACUGCCGUGUCUUUGUGAGACGCAGAGUAGGUGAACGGAUGAUCUUCGCAUGUGUGGUUCCCACUGUGAAGUAUGGAGGAGGAGGUGUGAUGGUGUGGGGGUGCUUUGCUGGUGACACUGUCCGUGAUUUAUUUCGAAUUCAAGGCACAGUUAACCAGCAUGACUACCAAAGCAUUCUGCAGCGAUACACCAGCCCAUCUGGUUUGCGACUAUCAUUUGUUUUUCAACAGGACAAUGACCCUAAACACACCUCCAGGUUGUGUAAGGGCUAUUUGACCAAGAAGAAGGGUGAUGGAGUGCUGCAUCAGAUGACCUGGCCUCCACAAUCACUUUAGAUGGUUUGGGAUGAGUUGGACCGCAGUGAAGAUAAAGCAGCCAACAGGUGCUCAGCAUAUGUGGGAAAUCCUUCAAGACUGUUGGAAAAGCAUUCCUCAUGAAGUUGGUUGAGAGAAUGCCAAGAGUGUGCAAAGCUGUCAUCAAGGCGAAGGGUGGCUACUUUGAAUAAUUAUUUUUUGGUUACUACAUGAUUCCAUAUGUGUUAUUUCAUAGUUUUGAUGUUUUCACUACUUUUCAAUAAUUUAGGAAAUAGUAAAAAAUAAAGAAAAACCCUUGAAUGAA